UAAAACGUGAAGGAUAACGUUGCGUCAGCAACGGCCCGUAGGGCGAGGCAAAGCCGAGUCAUCCUGCACGACCCACCA
rnacentral:sRNA from 1 species